UCACUAACAAUGGAGCCACCAC
rnacentral:siRNA from 1 species